rnacentral:ncRNA from 1 species
GCUUGACUGCGAGACAGACACGUCGAGCAGGUACGAAAGUAGGUCUUAGUGAUCCGGUGGUUCUGUAUGGAAGGGCCAUCGCUCAACGGAUAAAAGGUACUCCGGGGAUAACAGGCUGAUACCGCCCAAGAGUUCAUAUCGACGGCGGUGUUUGGCACCUCGAUGUCGGCUCAUCACAUCCUGGGGCUGAAGCCGGUCCCAAGGGUAUGGCUGUUCGCCAUUUAAAGUGGUACGC